AACGCGAAGAACCUUACCUGGGUUUGACAUCCCCUGACCGAUACAGAGAUGUAUUUUUGUAGCAAUACAACAGGGAGACAGGUGCUGCAUGGCUGUCGUCAGCUCGUGUGGUGACAUGUUGGGUUAAGUCCCGCAACGAGCGCAACCCUUGUCCUUAGUUGCCAGCAUUCAGUUGGGCUCUCUAAGGAGACUGCCGUGGUUAACACGGAGGAAGGUGGGGAUGACGUCAAGUCCUCAUGGCCUUUAUAUCCAGGGCGACACACGUGAUACAAUGGACGGUACAGAGGGAAGCGAAACCGCGAGGUGGAGCCAAUCUCAAAAAGCCGUUCUCAGUUCGGAUUGGAGUCUGCAACUCGACUCCAUGAAGUUGGAAUCGCUAGUAAUCGCGGAUCAGCACGCCGCGGUGAAUACGUUCCCGGGCCUUGUACACACCGCUCGUC
rnacentral:rRNA from 1 species